UUCCGUAGGUGAACCUGCGGAGGGAUCAUUACCGAGUGUAAAAACUCCCAAACCAUUGUGAACUUACCACUGUUGCUUCGGCGGCCUCGCCCCGGGCGCGUUCGCGCGGCCCGGACCCAGGCGUCCGCCGGAGGCUCCAAACUCUUGUCUUUUAGUGUAUUUCUGAGUGGCAUAAGCAAAUAAAUCAAAACUUUCAGCAACGGAUCUCUUGGUUCUGGCAUCGAUGAAGAACGCAGCAAAAUGCGAUAAGUAAUGUGAAUUGCAGAAUUCAGUGAAUCAUCGAAUCUUUGAACGCACAUUGCGCCCGCCAGUAUUCUGGCGGGCAUGCCUGUCUGAGCGUCAUUUCAACCCUCAGGACCCGUUCGCGGGACCUGGCGUUGGGGAUCAGCCUGCCCCUGGCGGCGGCUGGCCCUGAAAUCCAGUGGCGGUUCCCUCGCGAACUCCUCCGUGCAGUAAUUAAACCUCUCGCGGCAGGAUAGCGGUUGAACCACGCCGUUAAACCCCCCACUUCUCAAGGUUGACCUCAGA
rnacentral:rRNA from 1 species